AAGCUCACGGAGCGCUGAGCACAUUUGUCUUGCAGGGAGAGGGAGAAUUGAGGGCUGCAAUAAGCAGCAUUAAAUAGCCAAGAGUGCGGGAUUACAGCUCGGCUGCUCCCCGCCUGCCGCGCUCUCCCAGCCGCUUCCCACGGCCUUCCCGUCAUCCCUGGGCAGCAGGAACGGUUCCUGGAGCUCUUCUCCCAUCUUCUGCUGUGCCUCAGGAUUUUGCGAUCCCAGGACUCCACGAUUUGUGUGCCAGAGCAGCGAUCAGGGGAGGUGCUGCUGUCCCCGGGUGUGCCUCCGGGCAGUGCCGGUGUCACCAACGGCGUCAGCAGGGUCCCAGCAGCGCGGGGCUGCUCGGGGGAGGACGGGCGAUGGAAUUCCAUGGAAAAGGCACACGGACGCUGUCCCCCUGUGUGCAUUCACCCCCGCAGCCCCCGGGAGAGCCUCGGGGCUGCGGCGGCGGGCACGGCCUCCCCGGCUGGCUGGGGACAGGCCGGUGGCAGCAGGGGGCUGUGGCGAGCCGCGGCUCCCGGAGCGGCCCCGGGGGCUGCGCUUCCUCCGCUCCCGGCGGGGGCUGUGGGAACCUCCGGCCGCCCGUCCCCCCCCGCGGGCAGCGCCGGCCCCGCGCCGGGGGCGCGAUGCUCGGGCGGAGCCGCGCUCGGGAAAAGUGUGGGAAGAGCGGAUGGGAAAGGCACGGCCGCGUCCUCCCGGAGCCCGGGCCGGGGCAGGGCAGCGGCCCCAGCGCAAUUCCCAGCCCCGGGAAUAGCAGGGAGGGUUUAACCCUCUGCGCGCUGGGGAUGCGGGACGGGACUCGGUGCCCGCCCCGACACAAACGAGAGGCACUGGGAGCACCUUUGCCUGCUCCUACCUGUGCAAGGGACACUGGGGAAACCCCUGCCCACCUAAGAAAGGGACACUGGGGACAGCUCUGCCCACCUAAGAAAGGGACACCUAAGAAAGGGACCACCUUUGCCUGCUCCUAGCUGUGCAAGGGACACUGGGGACAUCCCUGGCCACCUAAGAAAGGGACACUGGGGACAGCUCUGUCCACCCCUACCGAAACAAGAGACACUGGGACACCUCUAUCCAGCCCUACCCCAAACAAGAGACACUGGGGACACCUCUGCUCACCUAAGAAAGGGACACUGAGGACAGCUCUGUCCAUCCCUACAAACAAGGGACACUGAGGACAGCUCUGUCCACCCCUACCCAAACAAGGGACACUGGGGACACCCCUGCCCACCUAAGAAAGGGACACUGGGACACCUCUGUCCAUCCCUACCUGUGCAAGGGGCACUUUGAUAGCCCUGCCCACAGGAGCACCCUCACAGUGAUGCCACCAGCACUGCCCUCAUUAAAACCUCGGCGUGACUGAGCAGCGAGUCCCAGGGAGGGCUGGAAAAGGCUUUUGCUGUCGUGUCCAGGUGGGAUCAGAGGCUGGAAACCCAACAAGGCACUUUCUCAUCCUGGAAAAGCACCGCAGGCUUGGGUUCCUCCCCGAGUGACAGCCCUGCCAAGGCACUGUCACACAUUCCCGGGCAGCAUUAAAGGACCGGGGAGAGAUGGCAGCGAAUUUGCAUUGAAAAUGGUCACGUUGGCAUUUGCUUCGUGCUGAACAUCGCUGCUCUUCAAAGCAACACACAUUUUCACACGGAAAAGGAGAGGAAGGAGCACACUGUCCCAGCCGAGGAGAAAACUCGAGGGACCUCCAGCCUGAGAAAUCCCAGCGAGUUCUGGGGAUUAACACGUGCCCUUCCAGGCGGGGAGGUUGGAGGCAAAAUCCUUGGGAAAUGCCAGAGCUCUGCUAACAGAUUGUGAACCUUCAUUAAAAUGGAUUAUUUUUGCUUUGGAGAUUUAACCAGCAACAUGACUUUCCCCUCUCGCUGGCCCUGUUCUGCCUCAGCCCGCAGAGAGCUCGGGCCAAGGAGGAGCUUGCAAAAUUAAUUCCGAAAGAAGAGGCUGAAACUUCCAGGACGUGAAUUCUCCUCAUCCCCUCAGCUCAGAGAGCUCAGCACAGAAAUCAUCAGGCAAGGGCUUGGAGCAGACCCCUGCCAUGGAGGAGAGCUCAGGGGAGCUGGGCAAGGCUUGGGAAAGGCAGGGAAGGAUCUAAGCAGUGACCUCUUGGGAAGGAAUCCGAGGGGAUCCCAAACCCAAGGGGGUCAGAGGGGAGCCUUUGCUGUCGGACAACAACUCCACCAGAUGGGAGGGUCAGCUGCUCCUUCUGAGCCAGCCAGGACAGCGUGAGGGCUCUGAGGGCAGCUCUGGCUCAGCCCAGCCCAGAGCAAUCCUGGUCAGAGAAUCCCAGAACGGUUUGGGUUGAACCAAUAAACUUAAAGCUCAUUCCAUUCCAAUCCCUGCCAUGGGCAGGAACACCUUCCACUGUCCCAGAGUGUUCCAAGCCCCAUCCAGCCUGGCCUUGGGCACUGCCAGGGAUCCAGGGGCAGCCACAGCUGCUCUGGGCACCCUGUGCCAGGGCCUGCCCACCCUGCCAGGGAACAAUUCCUGCCCAAUCUCCCAUCCAUCCCUGCCUUCUGGCAAUGGGAAGCCAUUCCCUGUGUCCUGUCCCUCCAGGCAUUGGCAAUUGUCUCUCUCCAUGUUCCUGCAGCUCCUUCAGGCUCUGCAAGGCCACCCUGAGCUCACCCCAAAGCUUCUCCUGUGCAGGUGAACAAUCCCAGCUCUCCCAGCCGUUCCUCCCAGCAGAGCUGCUCCAUCCCUCUGCUCAUCCUGGUGCCUCCUCUGGCCUGGCUCCAGCAGCUCCAGCUCCUUGCUGUGCUGGGCCCCGGGGCUGGGGCAGCUCUGCAGGUGGGCUCUGACCUGAGCACAGGGGAUGGGGCAGAAUCCCCUCCCCUGCCGUGGGAUCAGGACAGGGUUGUUUUUCCUGUGCCACCACAAGGACUUUCCCCACCCCCAGGUCUCUGCCUCUGCUGUCCCAAAGCUCUGGUGCCUCCGUGCCUGCGGUGUCCCUGCUCGUCCUGCAGCCCAAUCCCAGCUCCGUGACUGUCACCACUGAAUAUCCCAGGCAGCUCCAGCAAAGCCCCUCGGCAGGAGGGGAUACAAUAUCCACAGGAGAUACUGAAACCUCUCCAGGAUGUUGCCCCACGCCAUGGGAGCAGCCUCACACGGGAAGCACAAGGCAGGAGUCUCCCAUCAGGAGCAGGAGUGCAGCUCUGCUGUCCCAAAGCAUCUCUUUCCUCGCGGGAAUUUUAGAGGGAUGUAACCCAGGUGCUCAGCUGGCCUCAGCAUUGUGCUGUUGUGGGCAUAAAGGACUAAUUUUCCCCAAAAUCCCCUUCUGCUCUCUCAUCUGCAUAUUGCUCUGCUGGAAAGUGGAAGCUGUUUCCCAAUCUUCCCAGGCACACGUUUUCCAUGUGCCUAACCCGGGAUUAAUUGGGUUUGGAGCUGUGGCUGUGGGAAGGCUCUGAUGUCCUCCCGUACAGUUUGACUCCCGAGUUCCUUGGCAAUUCUAAUUCCUCGCUCACAUUUCGAACAGCAAUUCCAUGUUAUUUUUAGUCCUAAAACAUUAUGAACAUAGAGGAAACGAGACACCUACAGAAGUUGCCCCUGUGCAAAAUUAUGAAUGAUUCAAAAGUGCUGUCGCAAUUGCCAAGCUCUCCUGUUCUAAAAAGCUUUGUAAUAUUCACAGUAUGGGCUUGGCUGGCUCCUGAGCAGUGCAAAACACCCGGCAGAAAUUAAUUGUCGAGCCCUGAAUUUACCCUCAGGGAAUCAGAGAUAAAAGCACCGAGAUUGGGGGGUGAUAAGGGAAUCCCACCCUCCACCCUGUGCAAAGGGAAACUGCUCCUGCCUCAGUUUCCCCUCCUCCAGCAUCGCUCUGGGGGGUGGGAAAGUGGGAAUAUUAGCCCCGGGGAUCCCAUUAAAGCAGCUUUAAGGGGUCGGAUCAAUUAAUUCGCUGCUGGUAUCUCGUGGUGCAGGUGUUCAGUGUCCCCAUGGAAGUCACUGUGAGCCGUGGGGUGACCGGGAGAUUUAUAUUUGUACAAUGGCCUCACUGUCGAGGCGGACGAGCCCCUGACAUGGCAGCACUUACAGUCCAUAAAGCAGCAAUUAUCCCUGUUAUUAGAUCAUCCCAUUUCCAGCCGGAAUCCUGCGCCUGUGGAGCAUGCAAAGCCAGCCGGUGCCUCUCCCAGUGCCGGGCUAAUCUGUGCUAAUCCAUUAUGUAAAUCACCAGGACAAUAACCAGAGACAGGCGUGCCAUGUCUUCCAAGCAUCCGGCCCUCCUUAAUGAAAUUUGACCCACAAACGCGAGGGUUUGGGCUGCAGGGGCCGGGGGAGCUGGGUGGGAAGAGCAUCUGCACUUGGCAAUUUGGAGGCGCAGUUUGGAGCCCCGGGGCCCCUCCCGAGCUCAGCCUUUUCCCGGGGCUGCUGCUGAUCUGGUCCCCGAACAUUCCCUGACCCUUUGAAACAGGACCCCUGCCCCCAAACCGGGUCAUUUUGGAGCAGCUGCUGCUGCCUCGGGGCAGGGCUCUGCACGUGGAGUCACUUUUGUGACCAGGACCUUCGGGAAUCUCAGGAACAAUAAAACUUGACUAGGUCAGGGGAGAGUGUGUGUUUUUCUUACUUAA